UCGCUAUUAUGAUGCAUGUUUAUGUUUUUUGAUCAAAAUCUUUGCUUUUAGAUGUUAAUAAGCGAGUGUGCAAUACUGGCUCACACCCCUACAAAUAAUAGACUAUGCCAGAUGUCUACUGCGCAUAUGUUCUGCGCAGUAAGUAUUUUCAUGAAGGCCGGGGAGAAUCGCGGAUGCUGUCAGGCGAUAGUCCGUAAAAAUAGCUGGAAAUGGAUAAUCUAGCCGGAUUUUCUCACUUUUUCUACCAUAACGUGAAACAAGGCUGGUGCUAUCUAGACGUCCUGUGAUGACCCAAUGGACAUGGUCAAGGGCACACAAUCCUUAGUAGAGCCCUGGUGGAAUUUAAACAGACAAUCCGACGUCGUCUGUUAGCACUCCGCUGGGCCAGAGAAUCUGAGAGAUGCUUACAUCGACCAUUCUGCAGCAUAAUGGAAUAAAGAUGAACUGUUUCAAGGCGGGUCAGGAGACAUUGCUACCCCCUAGAGGAGACCUAUAGACUCCUUUGAUGUUUAAAAAAGUUGUAAAUUCUGCGUGUAAGCACUGUUGCCUAAGAUUUUAGUUCUGCACUUGAUGCCAAAACUGCUUUUAUUCUUGCUACACUGCGAAAACAUAUCCCUUGUAACAUUAAUGUUAGGUGUUACUGUAAGAUUUUUUCAAAAGCAAAUUUAACGUUAUAACACAGUGAAAAUUCCCUGUCACUCCAAAUUUCAAAUAAGACAAUGCAAAAGUGAACUAAUUCAAAGUAUGCUGAAGUACAUGUACAUAGAAUAGAUAUUACAUCUAGGCAUUAUAUUUUCACAACAGCUAGGCUUUUAAUAAACUAUCUCAUCAAAAACAAUCUAUUUAUUGUCAAAGUUGUUUGGUUGUAUGAAACUUCCUAUUUACAGACUGUCUUUUGGGAUCUUUUCACCCAUUGAUUGAACAUGAUGUGUUAAUUUCAACAUGUAAGAAGCCAUAUACUAGUAAUAUAUUUGUAUUGAAUAACUGUAUUCUACCACUGCUAGUCUUGUACUGUAGCAAUAACAAAGCAGAACACUGCAUGUCUCAUAUCUGACGUUACUGCUUGGCUUUGUAUAUCUUCUGAAAAAUCAUAUCAAUAUAAGAGUGCUGUAGCAUUUAGAGUACCGUUUGUAUCACUUAUAUAGCGUCUUAGAGUGUCCUGGACAUUUGAGGGGGCCUCUCACUAGGUAUUCACGCCAAACCAAUUUCUUCUUCCACAGAGAGUUCAUUCUCUUUCGGCCAAGGAUGUGUAUCCACAUCAGUAUUGUCAGGACUAAGUUCAACAAACACAGGAUCAAAAUCAUGACAGCGAUCCAUUCCUCCAUGCUGAAGAAUUGCAGAUUGGACUGAAGAAACGCCGUGAUUGAUUUUCUGGCAGUGUGAUCCUGUGAGACAUUGAUUUUUGUGACUGUCCUUGUUGAGAAAUAUUGCAGAUAGCGUAGCUUUUUCUGCGUUAUGGAUGAAGACGUAUCAUUUGCAAAUAUUUUAUGAUGCAAGGAAUAAAAAGACAUUCACAAGUUUGAUAUGCUGUUUCGCAAACAUUUUUCUCUUUGAGAAGGAAUGACAUUAAAGGAGCUGGUAUCAUUCUUGCACUACACUCAGUGAAUCAAUGGCAAUAGUUCAGACAUGUUUUCUAGUCUAUGUACCCGGUAUUACAAUGUAAUACAAUACAAUUCAAGUAAGUACAAUGUAAUAAUACAACAGACUCAGUAUCUUGCACCAAGGUACAAAGUCAUGCAUGUACAUGUAACCCUGUUAUACCUUUCUUUCUGAUACAACAUCAAAAAAUGAUUAUAUCAACAUUACUAUUUGAACUGAUAGAAUCUUCAGGCAUAAUACUUUUCCUUGGAAGUCCAGCUAUCAAAGAAAUGGAAUCAGUUCGUAUUACAUGAUGUAUAUUCAAGUGCUAUCUGAAAUACAUGCAUUUCCCACUACACUCAUUACCAUAGCCAUUUCUCUUGCCACUAAUAUGCUGUGUUCCAUUUGUGACUGUACAAUCAUUCUUCCACUUGCAUGACUGACUGUUAUAUCAAGUAUCAUUUGAUGUAUGAAACCUAUUCUUAUCAUGAAGACAUAUCAGUUCCUAUCAACAUCUUUAAUGGUCUGGAGUUGGUAUUUCUAUGCUACCCAGUACCCCUUGAGUUUUUAUAUGUAUGUUACCAACACAAGCAUGAUGAAGGGCAAUGCUGAUACAUUUUUGUAAAUCGUGAUCAUCAAAUUCUAAAUAUCGUAGCUCUAUCGAUAUCAUAAGAUUAUUUCUACAUUGGUUUUCAUUCAAAACUUGAGAGCAGGAGUCUGAGUUGAGAUUCCAAAGUGCUUGCUGCAUUGGCUCAGGCAGAAUAAUAAAAAGCAUUAUUUUAUAGUGCCAACAAAUUACACAGUAAUACAGCAUAGCUAUCACUGCAUGUGAAAGGAAAAGCGCCAUAUCAGUUACUUGUUCAGUUACAGAACACAUUACAUUUAUUUCCUUUGUGUGUGUAUCUGGUGUGUCUUCAGAGGCAGACAGUACAUAAUGAUAAUAAUCCUCCUGCCUUAAAUCACCCGCUGCCGCCAUGAUGUCUAGAGCACGGGUUUGCGAUUCCAUCUCCCAAAGGCAAAAUGAGAAACACAAAUGGUUUUUAUGAUGCAUUUGAAGUCUUUUUCUCAACAACCAUCCAAUCUGUCUUGCAUGGAGGGUCCCAACGAGUGAAUAUUUGCAUUCUGUCAUCCAUACAGACAACAGGAUGAUUUACAAGGAAAAUUAACAGCUACAUCCAUGCACAGACAUGAAGCAAAAACCCUGGAGAUCUGGCUGACAAUCAAAAUUAGUAGUGAAACCAAUGAGAGAUUUGCUGCAUGUCCAUCAAAUUUCUGCAUCUCUUGAUUCUCUUCUGUAUCUGUAUCUAUAUAGCCGGUAUAACCGCCGUUCAGCGUAACACACCAGAAUCUCUUCUGAUACUUUGUUGUGGAUUUCUGUUUUGAAAGAGAUAGGGGUAUAGGACUUCCAUGUGUUGAAACAGGUACUUUUUCAUGUUUAUGUUUACAUGAAUGAAGGUUCUUCCACAGCAGAGUCUCACAGAAAAGAAUAAGUUUGUAAGACUUAAAACUAAACAUACAUAGGUUAAUAUAAAAUAGUACCUGAACACAAUUGUUUUUUAAUUACAAAUGAACAAAAAUUUAAUAAUCUUUAACAGCAAGGAGAUUAUCUUAAAUCCUACUUGUUAACAUUGAUCAUUGAUUAGAUGGGUUCCUUUUUGCCAUGGAUACCGUUUAGGUUUGAACAGGCACUGAAUCUGUUUGUUUCAGUUUUAUUAAUUUUCUAAUUGCCCCAAA